rnacentral:misc_RNA from 1 species
AAUUACAUUGUUGAGUGAGAAAUUAUAACUAACAUAUAUAUUACCUGUUCCUUUGUGUUUGCUGGGAUUUUACCUUGGAAAAUACACUAACAAUAAAAGAAAAACAUUAUACAAUAUUCUUUAUUUGAAGGAGAUAGAUAAAAGUGCUUUGAGAUAUCGUUCUCAAAUGUUCGGACAGUGUGGAAGGUCGAAUAAGAACGGCCAGUAUUGAUACUGAAUUUUCUUAUAUCUAUCGAAUUGCUCUGAAGGCAAUUAAGUUAUGUCUUAUCAUCGGACAAUGCUUGUCCAAUUUCAGCCUUCUGUGUCUUUUCUUCCAACGAUCAGCUUUAUUAUAUUUCAAAAACGUCUUAAAUUCGUCAGUAAAUAUAAUGACAACUCUUGUUUAUUCGUUGAUCAAAUGGCAAUACAGUUAAAUAUUAAUUAACAAUAACAUGGCUUUUCGACCAUAAUGAUAAAGACCUAAAAAUGAUGGUCGAAAUGUCGUGUUGUUAAUUACUAUUUAACUGUAUUGCCACUUGGUCAAUGAAUAAACAAGAGUUGUCUUUAUUAUAUUUAUGUUUAUAAAUUAGUGCAGAAACUUGGCGCUGAAAACUUGCUGGAUUUCAAAAUAUGAGACAUUAAUGUCAAGUUAGAAAUUAUAUGAUUUAUAUAAGUGUAUACAAUUCACGGUUAUCAUAGUUAUAUUAUAUCACAUACAAUAUCACAGAUAAUUCAGAAGCACCAAGGUUUGUAUAUUAAAUACUUUUGUACUUAUUACAUUUUAAAAAUAUAUCUUUUCUAAAUAUGUUACAAUUAUGAAUUUGUGAUGCAAGAUAACUGAUUUCGUGUCAUAUGUUUUGUAGGAAAUCUUGUUCAUUUUUGUAUUAACUGUUUUUGCAGGAACUGAUUUUACUACGAUGAAUAGAUUACAAGUAUAAACUUUUGAAUCAAGAUAUUUCGAGUAAUUCAUUUUGUACGAACAUUUGCACUCAUAAAUAGAGGCAUUUUCUGAUAUCGUUAUUUUUGUAGAAGCGGAUUAACCAGAAUUAAUGCUUCUUUUCAGAAACAUUUCUUCUUCUUUCCAAUAAUGGCGCCUAGUCCAAACGGACUAAUUCGGCCAAGAUAACCAAUUGACGUAUAUAAUAAAUACCAAGUAAAAUGGAUAAAUAUAACAAAAAUUCGUAAAUAUGAUAAAAUUAAAAAAAGAGUGUAGUCAAGUCACUUUAGUCGCCUCGUACGACAAGCAGGAAACACUGUAGGAAAAUUCUGGCCCGCCCACCACACGGGCCUUUUCAGAAACAUGUAUACAAUACGAAGGCGUGAACUGUAAUGAAGAGCGUGAAGACGUACUGCCUGGAAAAAUCAAUUGCGCUUGCGCGAACCUUGGGCAAGAUAUCAUGUCAUGACUACUUUUCUGUGAGAAACAAAUAUCCGUUGUACUGUCGUUACGACGAUCAAAUCGAUCGGUUAAUCGCCUACUUUUCUCUCCCGCGCAAAUUCUCUUACGCGAAAAUUAUUCCUAUAGCAUUUUUAUUUCUGUAUUAUUUCGACAGCAUUACAUGGCAUGUUCUGUAGUACUUCUAUAGUAUUACAGCAUUUACUGACUACGUCGUAUUUAAUAUUUUAUGUUAUAAUGUGUCCAUACGUUUAUGACAAAGUGUAAGAAAAAUUAUGUAAUUUUAAUACAAUAAGGGAAAUUGUUUCUAUUAGAUAAUUUGGUCUAUUAGGUAAUAUAGGUAUUUUAUCUUAUGCUAAAAGAAAAAUAUUCUAAAAUAUCCGAGUAUACUUCAGAAUGUGAACCUCGAUCGACAUAUUCUCAAAUGUAGUUGUAUGCUCGACGAAGAAUGAUCUGUAUAGUUGAACAUUUUAGAAUACAACGAAUUUUACUAUUAACUAUUGGCAUAUGGCCUUACAACCAAUCAAAAUUUGUCCGAUUUCAGUUUUCAUUGCUUUCGGUUGUUACAAACAGCUAUAUUAUAUUUCAGCUAACACAGUUUAUAACUUCCGAAUUAACUGUUGAGCGUAUUAUAAAAAUACUGUCUACAAUUUUCUUUUCUUUUUUGUGCCUAAUUCAUCAAGUUUCUUAUUGGAUUAACGCAAAUGUUGUGAAAUGUUUUCUGGAGCGUCUCCAACAUGUCUGUAACGACUUAAAAGACGAAAACGAAAUCGCAAUAAUAAAGAAAUAUGCAACUAGUGCAGAAUAUAUCUCAAUUCUAGUUUUACUUACAGGUUUAUUUUCAUUGGAUUAUUUCUUAUUCUUCAAACAAACGUUUAAUUUUGGCUUGUUCGCGGCGUGCUGGGCAUUUAUUGUUAUUCUAAUGCCGCGGAUUUUUAGCACUUUUCUACUCGUAAACAUAUCUCGACCAUUUUACAAUUUCCAAUUCAUAACUGAAUAUUUUAUUGAUAAAGAAAAGAAUUUCUAUUUAAUUUUGCUUCACGCAUACGCGUCCGCUUAUAUAUCAUUAACUGCGUUGAUUGGGGGAGGUUUGAUAGGAUGUGCAUACCUUAAACACAUUUGCGGACUAUUUAGCAUUGCUAGUUAUAACUUUAUUUAUAGUUACCGUAUAGGACAAUCAAUGAUAGUAAAUAUUCACGAAAAAACUAAUCAGUGGAAUAAGAUGGAGAAGAAGAUACGUCUUGCAGUGGAUGCCCAUCGCACAGCCAUUGAGUUGUCUGAAUUCUUUAUGUCUAGUUUCAAUGGAACAUACUUUUGUCUAACAGUGUUAUCCAUACUUAUUGUAUGUCUCAAUCUAUGCGAAGUAUUCCAAACUGCACUGCUUCGAGAUAAAGUGGAGGAAUUUCUGGUACACCUUAUAUUUGCAACUGCUGUGCUUCUAUAUUGGUUCCUGGCCAAUUUUUCCGGUGAAGAAAUUAUGGAGCACUACAACUACAUGUUUUCUACUGCAUACAACGUUCAGUGGUAUACGGCUCCCAUACGCGUACAGAAAUUGAUAUUGUUCCUGUUGCAAAGAAGCUGUAAGAUGUACGGCCUCAAAACAGGUGGACUUUUUAUAGCAUCUUUAGAGGGCUUUGCUUCGUUAUCCACUGCAUCGAUAUCUUACUUUACUGUUAUAUAUUCUGUACAGAAGUGAUACCAGUAUCGAUCAUCUGAUAGUAUAGUGAAAAUAGAUGAUAUAGUACAAGGGCAAGAAGUGAAUGCUCGGUCUAGAAAACAAUUAUGUGCUAGGAAUACGUAAAAUAAAAUGAAGAACGUGAAGACGUACUGGAUGAAAAUGUCAAUUACACUUGGACGAACUUGGAAAUCAAUACUUGCGGUGUGCUGCGCAUUUAUUAUUACUCUUAUGCCAAUUUAUCCACGGAUUCUUAGCACUGUUCUACUCGUAAAUAUAUCUCGAC